UUACCUCAAACUAAAAUGUCUCCUUGUGUCCUGAUUUCUAGGAUUGCUCGUUUUUCCAAUGUUCAGCACCUCUCCAUCCACAUCUCAAAGAACUUCGGAGCAGAGAGCACCAGGGUCUACUACAUCGGUCUGAGGGGAGAAUACACGGAGGCUCACAGACACGAAGUGACGAUCUGUAACUACGAGGCAGCAGCAAACCCUGCAGAUCACAAAGUGGAGAGCAUCAUCCCGCAAACUAACUUCAUCUCCUGAACGCUUCAGAGAGGGAGAGAGAGAGAGAGAGGAGGAGGAGGAGGAGGAGGAGGAGAAGGAGAAGGAGAAGGAGAAGAGGUUUCAGUGGCAUCUGCUUGACAGUGGUCAAAAAGUCGAUGUUGAAGAUUCAACGCUGCGUACCGGCAGGUUGGUUGAGCUCAACCGGGACUGAGCACAGAAACCUGAAGAGCAGAGAGCUUCAGAUGUGUCUGGAAGUGCCGAGUUGUUGCUCUGAUUUCUAUGGCAAUAAAGAGUGAAUGCUUAAUGUGGGCAAAAAGCUUAAUAAUAAACGCAUGAAACAUUUGACACUCAGAUAACUUCUGUUGUUAACCAGUUUAACUCCUAUACUCUAAAUCAUGUCUAAAGAUACACUUCACUAAUGUGACAGCUACUCUUAAAUAAAACACUGAAGGCUGGAAUUAAA